rnacentral:rRNA from 1 species
AUUGAACGCUGGCGGCAUGCCUAACACAUGCAAGUCGAACGAGAGGCGGACGGGUGAGUAAUGUCUGGCAAACUGCCUGACGUAGGGGGAUAACUACUAGAAAAGUUAGCUAAUACCGCAUACCAUCGUAUCAGCCUACACGGGUUUAUCUAGUAGGUGGGGUAAAGGCUCAACUAGGCGACUAUCCCUAGCCGGUCUGAGAGGCUGACCAGCCACACUGGAACUGAGACACGGUCCAGACUCCUACGGGAGGCAGCAGUGGGGAAUAUUGCACAAUGGGCGAAAGCCUGAUGGAGCAAUGCCGCGUGAAUGAAGAAGGCCUUCGGGUUGUAAAGUACUUUCAGCGGGGAGGCGUUACCCGAAGAAGAAGCAACGGCUAACUCCGUGCCAGCAGCCGCGGUAAUAC